rnacentral:tRNA from 14 species
GGAGAGGUGGUCGAGUUGGUUUAUGGCACCAGUCUUGAAAAUUGGCGUAGGUUUGUAGCCUACCGUGGGUUCGAAUCCCACCCUCUCCGCCA